CCCGAUCCUCCCACCCUUUGUGUACCUACCUCUGUUGCUUUGGCGGGCCGCGGUCCUCCGCGGCCGCCCCCCUCCCCGGGGGGGUGGCCAGCGCCCGCCAGAGGACCAUCAAACUCCAGUCAGUAAACGAUGCAGUCUGAAAAACAUUUAAUAAACUAAAACUUUCAACAACGGAUCUCUUGGUUCUGGCAUCGAUGAAGAACGCAGCGAAAUGCGAUAAGUAAUGUGAAUUGCAGAAUUCAGUGAAUCAUCGAAUCUUUGAACGCACAUUGCGCCCUUUGGUAUUCCGAAGGGCAUGCCUGUUCGAGCGUCAUUACAACCCUCAAGCUCUGCUUGGUAUUGGGCACCGUCCUUUGCGGGCGCGCCUCAAAGACCUCGGCGGUGGCGUCUUGCCUCAAGCGUAGUAGAACAUACAUCUCGCUUCGGAGCGCAGGGCGUCGCCCGCCGGACGAACCUUCUGAACUUUUCUCAAGGUUGACCUCGGAUCAGGUAGGGAUACCCGCUGAACUUAAGCAUAUCAAUAAGCGGAGGAA
rnacentral:rRNA from 1 species